rnacentral:rRNA from 1 species
UACGGAGGAGGCUAGCGUUGUUCGGAAUUACUGGGCGUAAAGCGUGCGUAGGCGGUUUUCUAAGAUGAGUGUGAAAGCCCGGAGCUCAACUCCGGAACUGCGCUCAUGACUGGAAUACUUGAGUCCGAGAGAGGUGAGUGGAAUUCCCAGUGUAGAGGUGAAAUUCGUAGAUAUUGGGAAGAACACCAGUGGCGAAGGCGGCUCACUGGCUCGGUACUGACGCUGAUGCACGAAAGCGUGGGGAGCAAACAGG